UGGGGAAUAUUGGACAAUGGGCGAAAGCCUGAUCCAGCCAUGCCGCGUGUGUGAAGAAGGUCUUCGGAUUGUAAAGCACUUUAAGUUGGGAGGAAGGGCAGUAAGCGAAUACCUUGCUGUUUUGACGUUACCGACAGAAUAAGCACCGGCUAACUCUGUGCCAGCAGCCGCGGUAAUACAGAGGGUGCAAGCGUUAAUCGGAAUUACUGGGCGUAAAGCGCGCGUAGGUGGUUCGUUAAGUUGAAUGUGAAAGCCCCGGGCUCAACCUGGGAACUGCAUCCAAAACUGGCGGGCUGGAGUAGGGCAGAGGGUGGUGGAAUUUCCUGUGUAGCGGUGAAAUGCGUAGAUAUAGGAAGGAACACCAGUGGCGAAGGCGACCACCUGGGCUCAUACUGACACUGAGGUGCGAAAGCGUGGGGAGCAAACAGG
rnacentral:rRNA from 1 species